AGAGUUUGAUCCUGGCUCAGGACGAACGCUGGCGGCGCGCCUAACACAUGCAAGUCGAACGGAGCUGAGAGGAGCUUGCUUUUCUUAGCUUAGUGGCGAACGGGUGAGUAACGCGUGAGUAACCUGCCCUGGAGUGGGGGACAACAGUUGGAAACGACUGCUAAUACCGCAUAAGCCCACGGUACCGCAUGGUACUGGGGGAAAAGGAUUUAUUCGCUUCAGGAUGGACUCGCGUCCAAUUAGCUAGUUGGUGAGGUAACAGCCCACCAAGGCGACGAUUGGUAGCCGGACUGAGAGGUUGAACGGCCACAUUGGGACUGAGACACGGCCCAGACUCCUACGGGAGGCAGCAGUGGGGGAUAUUGCACAAUGGGGGAAACCCUGAUGCAGCGACGCCGCGUGGAGGAAGAAGGUUUUCGGAUUGUAAACUCCUGUCGUUAGGGACGAUAAUGACGGUACCUAACAAGAAAGCACCGGCUAACUACGUGCCAGCAGCCGCGGU
rnacentral:rRNA from 1 species